rnacentral:lncRNA from 1 species
UAAGAUUUAUAAUUAUCAAGUGUGAACAUUGUUAUGUGAACAAACUUAUUCUACAUAUUGACCUUUUUAAGGUACAUGUAGCACUACAGUCUAACAGUGAUUUUUUGAAGAUUUUAUUAUCACAUAAUUUGGAAGUUAAUAUUAUUCUGCACAAUUUAAAAAAAAUCCAUAAGUCAUUAUCACAUCACAACAGGGAGUAAUUUGAUAAUGAACUUAUGUAAAUAAAAGCACAUGGUAAAUAAUCUAAAUAUAUAGGCAUUUAGCAGGGGUUUAUAUGUCAAUCAUCUGUUGAUACCAGUGUCCAGCUGUAAAUCCCUGACCACAAGAUAUAUAGUGUGGUCUUAUCUUAUUGUAUCAUGUGUAUUGCAAAAAAAGUAAUUUAUAUAAC